ACGACCAAAGCCCAAAGCUGAUGUCUAGGAGGCGGUAUCUUUAUUCAAACCCUGCACCUCCUGUAGAUUUCUCCCAGGCUCAAAAACCCCGUCCUCCACACCUGCUUCCCAUGGGCUGUGUGCUGUGGUACAGCUGUGAAAGGCCUUCCUCCUUCUGCACCUGAAUCAGCCAGUCUCCAACUCCUUCUGUCAUCCUGGCACUCUGAAACAGAGCUCAGCUCUUUCCCUGUUAGCCAAGAGCCCUUUAAUUUCUAAGGCAUCAUGAUUUGCCUUGUUUUAGGAGGGUGGGUACGCUCAGCUUUCCUUUUCCAGCAGCUUAAGAGGAGUUAGAUCUAGCCCUUUCCACAGGACUUUAAGGGCUAUAUUGCAUCAGAUGGCUGUUUAUUUUUUGGUAGCUUCAGUGAACUGCUGCAGCUAUAGAAAUUGUGUGGGCACAUUUAGAUACAUGACUUAAAUUUUCUGCCAUCUCCUUUUCCUAGUGGGAAGGAGUUAGCACCUUGUUAGGUGCAACAUCACCAGCCUCUCCUGAGCUGAGCAAUCCCUUCUCUCUAAUAAUGAUUAGAUCAAGCCUAAACCAAAAUACUUCACUCGCAGCAAAUGUGGAUGUCUGGGGUUUUCCUUCAGCACUUUUACGAGUAACAGGCGUGUAUCCUUUGCUGUGCUCCACAGGUUCCCCUUCAGCUCAUUGCUGCCCCAUAAAUGCAAGCCUGCACAUAAAUGCCUGGGUCCACAAAAGGAGAUGAACCACAAAAGCAGGCAGCUCGCUCCUUUCCCUGGCAGUAGCCUCUAACCAGCACGUCUCUGAGGCUUUGCUUUAUGUAUUUAUUUUCAGCACAUGAGGUGCAAAUGAAAGGCAAACAAUAUGGGUCAGGUGUGAUGGUCUUGGAUAAUUAACAGCUGGAAAUAAUUACCUGCUACCAGGAAGAAGGAUGAUGGAUGGAGCCGAGGAACAGCUGCGUGGCAUCUUCAGCUGGCUGCUGUACAGGGAGGGAUGAGAAAUACCCGCAGAAAUUGCCUGAAGGGGCUGGGGCAAAGCACGCAGCAGCCAGUGCUGGUAGCAAGUCACACUGCAGUGCCCUACAGGAACUCUUCCAGGGACAUUUCUUAUUGUGAGACCCUUGCGUUUCCUUCUGGAAAAUCUAAUAUUAGCCCUGGCUUCCCACAAGACAGAUAUUUUCCUAGUGGGCUGUGGGAAGUUGCUGCUUUGCUCCUUCCAGCCCGGGACUGUGAGCAGAGGUGCCGUGCUGCCUCGCAGCACAGUAUGAAGCAGGAACAAAGCCUCGUGAAGAGAAAUGUGUGCUCCUGGCAGCAGGAUGCAGCCAGCCCCAGUCCUUGCCUGGGAUCAGAGAGAGGGGCCGUGUGGUGCUGUGCCCGGGGGACAGGCUGCUGUGGAGAGCCUGUGCUCUGACAGUGCUCAAGCAGCAUCUCUUGUGGGCUGAGAUAUGGCUGGGAGGCUCCCCAUAGCUGCCAACUUCUCCCCAUCACUGUUUCCUACAGCUGGGGCCUGGGGGGAUUGCCUCCACCAAAAUGCACAAGAGCCUCCUCCACAGCCAGGAGGCCAGCGAGGAGCCCAGGAAACUAUUCCCCUUAAAUAGUUAAACGGCUGCCUCUCAACUAACACAAUGUCACAUUGAAUUUGAAACAGGGAACUUUUUAUAUUUUCCCCCUGAUUGUGCUGGCACCUGGCAGAUGCCUAUUUACCACAGGCAUCAAUACACAUAGUAAUCAAAGGAAAUCAGAGGCACAGAUUAGCAACAGCUGCAAGUCAUUAGUGGCAGCCAUGGGAAAGCACAGCUCUGCACCCAACUUCGAAAUAACCAAUAUGAGUAUUUCAGAGCACGAGGGUUACCGCAGGGCACUCGGCGAGCACGAGAGAAAGCAAACAAUUGCUUCGCUUGUCUCUCAAGAUGGCUUCUUCCCUUCCUGAAGGCAGUACCGCGCGCUCGGCGUUAUCGAUGAGCCUGUUGCGUGUUGCCGGUCAGUUGAAUGUUAACUCUUUGGGAGGCCGAUUUUUUGCAGAUCAAAAAUGGCCAGAAAUAUGGGAAACAGAGUCUCUACCUUUACAAAUUUCCAGGGAUUUUUCAUUUUCUCUUAACUGUUUGCCGGUGUCUUUGGUGUAGUCUGUAAACAGGGGAGAGGUUGGGAUCUCUGAGAGUUAAUGGUCAUCUUACAGUAAGUUUUAUUUGGGGGGUGGUGCAGAGCAGUGGACCAGAAGCCUUAUUUGUAUAUCUGAUUCCUUUAAUCAUUUCAUUUUGAACCAGAAUAGAGACCACAUCUUAUUUAAAAACUCGAUGUUGAUUGAAAUUUCCAUUGCAGAUUUAGGCAGCUUGGAUUUCUAUUUUGAUCAGCCUCCGGAAAAGCCGAUUUUACUUCAAAGCAUCUCCGAGUCUUGCAGGCGCAGGAAGUUGCUGCCCUAUUAAUAGAGAAAGCAGAAUCCAGCAUCGUCGUCGUACGGAUGCUCUCCGGCAGUACUGACGUGCCGCGUCCUCCCUUGCUCGGUGGAGCCAUCACCACUGCAGGAGCAGCACCCAGGCUGCGUACGUGGUGUUGUGGUCCAUAGUGAGCUCUGCCUGCCUGCCUUGCCCCUGCCACAUGGGAUGCUCGUCCCAGCCUUGUGCUUGCCCAGCUGUUGGCCAUUGCCCAAGGGGGUGGGAGCAUGCGAUGGGCUUGGUGGUGAUAGGAUGGACAAACACCGAUCUGUGGCACUUCAAAGUACUCCUUGAGCUUCUUCUGCCUCUUCUCAGAGAGGGGAAUAAGAGAGAAGAGUUUGGGAGCAAGGGGAGUAGUCACAGAGGCACAUGGUGGUCUCAGGGUUGCAGAAAAGAUGGGCAGGGAUCUCUGGUUGGAACAAUCAGAGAGAAGAGAAAAAGACUUUGCCAGAAACACCGUUUCCCACAGUAAGCCUGUUCCUCUUGGUCCCUGGGUCUUAUUCCAGCCCCCAAACCUUCAGUUAAUCUAAGCUCCACCAGCAAAUCAGAAUCACAGAAUGGUUGAUGUAGAAAGGGACCUCUGGAGGUCACCUGCUCCAAGCCAGGCUACCAGGCAAGGCUACCCAGAGCAGGUUGCCCAGGACCUUGUCUCCAACCAGAGACGUGGAUCUUAUUUCUAUUAGCAGUCCCAAAACCUCACUCAUUAGUCCCAGAUUCCCCCAAACUCCUUCCUAUUAUGUUUUCUCUACUGUUAUUGGAAAAGUUGAAUUUGUUUUCCCCAGGGAUAACAGAAAAUAUUUAUGGAAAGACAAAAGUGAAAUUUAACCUUCUUUCCCAAGGCCUCUAGAGCUGGCUCUGUAAGAAAUACGGAAAGUGCAAACAGAGUAUUUAAGGUGACAAAGGAAAAUAUGGUUUUAAAGUAAAAUAUAAGUAAAUAGUCUCAAAAGAUAAAGCACGCUGAGUGCUCACAUCUCUUAGUGCUAAGAUGAAAGCAAGGAGAAAAUAGUGGUGGAAGGAUGUUAGUUCUGCCGCUCCCUCACCACCACAGCUGUUUCAUUUGUAAACAAAUGAUUUUAGGAUUAUGAAAGCCUGUAGUGAGCAAGACAGGUAUUUGUGAUGGGAGUUUUGCUCUUACUGGCUGUAUGAAGUAGGAUGGCUUUGGAAAUGACUAGGAGAAGUGGAAGUUUUGGGGAAAAUUCCUAGGGUUUCUUCUGCAUCCCGUUCUAACCAGAUGCGUCAGUCCAGCCAAAUGAAGGGUGAUGAUCUGAGGACAGUAGGUGACAACCUGUACCUAUAAAACAAGUUUUGAAUUUUGAAGUCCUUUAUCUGAGUCUGCACCAAUGAGUGUGCAAAAGAGUAGUGCAUGCAGGUUUGAUAAGCUUUAGAAGGAACCUGAGAACUGGAUUAGUGCCAAGAGAUUUUGGUCAGUUCCUCAAUAAUUAAGAGCUGAAGUUUAUCGCUGCAA